rnacentral:pre_miRNA from 1 species
UUUCUGUUUCGAAUUGAUUUCGAGUCCAACAGAGGUAGUCACUCAAUUAUGACGAGUGAACCCUUUGUCGUGACAUCGAGAACUUUUCGAUAUUAUCGUCC